CCCACCUCCAACCCGUGGUCUGGUAAGCGCCCUCACUCUCUCCCCUGUCAGCCCACACCACGAGAAACCAACCCAUCCCCCAAAACAGCCUGACCCUCCAACUGCACCACUUUUAAAUACUCCCUAAAGGUGGUGCGACACCCCAAUCCUACCAUAAACGGCAGCGGCAAACAUAGAUAGCAGCGAAGAUUCAGGAAGAUGGUCCCACAGGCUAAUUUGUAUGCGGGAACAUCAAUUGCUUCGAUUAAAAAAAAACAACCUGGUGUGCAUAUACAUGUGACAACUUAAAACACCGUGCGAGCAUUCUUAUCACUUAUUUAUACUCCCCGUGAAAAAUUAAAAUUAUCACAAGAAUGCCAUUCCUUUCACGGGGCGCUUUUAAAAUUUGAUUUCUUAAUGGUUGAUAUCGCGUAUCAAUCCAGCAGGUUCGGGAGCCUUCGGCCCCGCCUCCUCAUUUUGCUCCACCCAUCCUGUCACCGAUUGGCUGCGAUGUGAGGGAUGGGACGCACGAUUGGUGUAGUGUGGUGUCGAUCAGGAGCCGGAGCCCCACCCUCCUCUCAGACGCCGCUCUCUCUGCAGGUUUGGUUGAGCGGUGCGGAGCCGGGCUGUCAGCGCGUUCGAGACUCUGGGCCGUGCAUUUGCAGUAGCAGCAACGGCAGCAGCGCGAGUGACACAACAGCGCGAGAACCCAACGGUCGGAUUAACGAACCGGGCGGGCGCUGAGGUAAAACAAUCAUCAGGGAAUUUUAAAGAAAACCUCUAAAACUGAGGGGAGAGAGAGAGAUAUAUAAAAGCAACUGUUUUUGAAUAAAUUGUUCGAGAUACAUGUUCGGCGUCAAAAUUGAAAUACAUGAUCAUAAAUAUUGAGAGGUGAAAAUACAUUCCCCUCGCCUCAGCCCCCAUCAUCAUCACCACCUCUGGAUAUCGGCAGCUUCGUUGAUGUGAGGAGGGAAAAAAAAAGAGGAAAGUAAAACGAGAAAGAAAUACAAAUAAAAGGAGAGGAAUCAUGCUCACCAAACAGAAUAUGUCCCUUUUCUGCUUGUACAGCUUCUGUGGAUUUCUUCUUCAACUCCAAGUGUUUGCAACCAAGACCAAA